AGCGAACGUUUGCGGCGGGCCUAACACAUGCAAGUCGAACGGGUUGGCAACAACCAGUGGCGCACGGGUGCGUAACACGUAGGUAAUCUACCCUCAAGUUCGGGAUAACGAUCUGAAAGGAUCGCUAAUACCGGAUGUGUUCCGAAAGGAAGAAAGACCCGCAAAGGGUCGCUAGAGGACGAGCCUGCGGCCCAUCAGCUAGUUGGUGAGGUAAUGGCUCACCAAGGCUAAGACGGGUAGCUGGUCUGAGAGGAUGAUCAGUCACACUGGAACUGAGACACGGUCCAGACUCCUACGGGAGGCAGCAGUGGGGAAUAUUGCGCAAUGGGCGAAAGCCUGACGCAGCCACGCCGCGUGAGCGAUGAAGGCCUCGGUCGUAAAGCUCUGUGGGAGGAGAAGAAUAAAGACCUGUGAAGAGCAGGCCUUGACGGUAUCUCCUUAGCAAGCACCGGCUAACUCCGUGCCAGCAG
rnacentral:rRNA from 1 species